AUUUCAUAAAUAAAAAGAAAAUUUCUUCAAACAUUUUUUUGAGAGGAUUAAUAUUUAACAUCAUAGUGAAUUGCUCUAAGAGAAAACAAAAGUUUAAGUUCAUUAGAACACAUUCAUUCUGUGUCAGAAACCUAUGCUGUGUCAACUAUUAAAUCACAAUCCAAAUUUAGAGCUGAAUCCAGCUUGAAUGUUGUGUCCAUACUUGCCCCAACCGUU
rnacentral:lncRNA from 1 species